rnacentral:ncRNA from 1 species
UUUAUUUUACAUAUAAAUUUUAGUAUUAAAUUUUAAUUAUUUUAAUAAUAAUUAAUUAAUUAGUUAUAGUAAUUAAAAUUAAAAAUUUAAGAAAUUAAGAUUUAGUAAUAUAAAAAUUAAUAACUAAUUUUGUGCCAGCAGUUGCGGUUAAACAAAAAUUAAAUUAAAUUAUUUCAGUAUAUAAUAAAUAUAAAUAUGUUUAAAUUAAAUAUUAAAUUAUUAAGUGAAAUUUUAAUUUAAUUAAAUUUUAUACAAUAUUUAUGAUUUAAUAAAUUUUAAUAUAAACUAGGAUUAGAUACCCUAUUAUUAAAAAUUUAAAUUUUAAAUACUAAAAUAGUAAAUAAUUUAUAUUGAAACUUAAAUAAUAUGGCGGUAUUUUAGUUCAUUUAGAGGAAUCUGUCUAGUAAUUGAUAAUCCACGAAUAAAUUUACUUAAUUUAAAAUUUUGUAUAUCAUUGUAAAAAAAAUAUUUUUAAAUAAAAAUAAUAUUUAAGAAUUUUUAUAAUAAAUUAAUUCAGAUCAAGAUGCAGAAUAUAAUUAAGAUUAAGAUGGAUUACAAUAAAUAUAUUUAAAUGAAUAGGAUUUUGUAAUUAUAAUUGAAGGUGGAUUUAAAUGUAAUUUUAAUUAGUUUAUUAAAAUGAUUUAUAAUUGAAAUAUGUACAUAUUGCCCGUCACUUUCAUUUAAAAAUUGAAAUAAGUCGUAACAAAGUAGAGGUACUGGAAAGUGUUUCUAGAAU